rnacentral:tmRNA from 1 species
GGGGCUGAUUUGGUUUCGACGGGAAUAGUUGAGCAUAGGUGGCAAGUCGAAUGUUCACGUUACGAACACAAAAAAAUAAAUGCAAAUAAAAUUAAAAAUGCUGUAGCUACUUUAUUUGGUGCAAACCAAGCAGUAGCUUUUGCCUAAUCUUAAUUUAAGGUCAGCGCUUCUACUUAUUUUUACCUAGGAAUAUUUAGAGGUUCAUUUUAUAGGUUAUAGCUAUUCUUGUGUCUUAGGAAUAGAAAGAAUUUUUUGACUAGUAUGUUUAUUUGGUCGUCAAUUACUUGAUAGACAUAUGAAUAUAAUUAGUUGACUAAACUUGUAGAGGUUUAUGUAUUCAAUUCUCCUCAGCUCCACCA